GAAAUGCGAUAAGUAAUGUGAAUUGCAGAAUUCAGUGAAUCAUCGAAUCUUUGAACGCACAUUGCGCCCGCCAGUAUUCUGGCGGGCAUGCCUGUUCGAGCGUCAUUUCAACCAUCAAGCCCCCGGGCCUGUGUUGGGGACCUGCGGCUGCCCGCAGGCCCCGAAAACCAGUGGCGGGCUCGCUGUCACCCCGAGCGUAGUAGCAACACCUCGCCCAGGGAGUGCCGCGGGCUCCGGCCGUAAAACCCUCUCGCCCCCCUCGCGGCGCGGGAGAACACCCCAAGGUUGACCUCGGAUCAGGUAGGAAGACCCGCUGAACUUAA
rnacentral:misc_RNA from 1 species